AAUUUUGAACACCAAAACAACAGUCUAGUCGAAGAAAGGCAAAGGCAAAGGCAAAGAGAAGUGUCUGGAAUUUUCUUUGCCCAACGCUCGCGCACACGAAAUUCUAGAAUCGUUUCUUCCGCCGCAAGUUCCCUCCCCACAUAAUCUUAUUCCUCCCCUCUCUUUCUCUGUCACAGAAUCAUCACCUAACCAAUUGCAUCACCGCGCUGCUUUCAGAGUUGAACGCAAUCACCAAUCACAAGAAAGAAAGAACGAACGAUGGAAGUGAGAAUCGGAAGAACAGUUUCUCGGGGAAUGAUCCCACUGCUGGCCCUCCACACCUUCAGCGAGUACUACCGCUCCAACUCAAAACCCCCCAUCACCGCCGCCCUCAUCGCCGCCAACACCCUCAUCUACCUCCGCCCCUCCUUCCUCCACUCCCUCCUCCCCUCCAUCGACCAAGUCUGGUUCAACCCCCACCUCAUCCUCAGGCACAAGGACCUGAAGCGCUUCCUCUUAUCGCCGUUCUACCACAUCGGAGAACCUCAUCUUGUCUACAACAUGCUCUCCCUUCUCUGGAAGGGGAUCCAAUUGGAGACAUCAAUGGGAAGCUUCGAAUUCGCUUCCAUGGUGGCUUCUUUGCUCGCUUUGUCGCAGGGGAUCACGCUCAUGCUCUCCAAAUCGCUGCUUCUAUUCUUCGAUUACGAGAGACCUUACUACCACGAGUACGCGGUUGGAUUCUCCGGCGUUCUCUUUGCCAUGAAGGUCGUCCUCAACUCCCGCUCCGACGAAUACACUUCCGUCCACGGCGUUAUUGUGCCCUCGCGGUACGCCGCGUGGGCGGAGCUAAUUCUGAUUCAGAUGUUCGUUCCUGGAGCGUCGUUCUUGGGCCACCUUGGUGGAAUACUUGCCGGGAUACUUUACAUGAAGUUGAGGGGAAACUACUUUGGAUCCGACCCUCUGAGUGUUUUGAUGAGGAGUGUUGGUUCUGCGUUGAAUUGGCCGGUUAGGUUUUUGGGAGGGUUGUUUCGGUCCCGGCGUGGGAGGAUCACCGGGAGGGGGACGGUUGGUGGUGGCGGCAAUCGGAGGAGGAGGGUUAAUGGUGGUGAUAAUGGGGGUUUCUGGAGGUGCCAGGCUUGCACUUAUGAUAAUUCAGCGUAUUUGAGUGUCUGUGAGAUGUGUGCUACUACAAGGGAUGGAAGUGGAUUGGCUUCUAUGCAAUGGGACAGGGAUUUGGAUGGACUUCCCUUGGAUGAAUUGCGGCGCCGAAGGAUCGACAGAUUUACUGGUAGAAGAUGAUGAUGUUGAUGGUGGAUGAUUGGAUUGUUUUAGACAGGGUCUCCGGAUUGCUGUAUAUGAAUUAAGUUGAAUGUGGAGGUUUCAUCUCAUAGGUAUUAGCAUCAUUUUUUUAUAGGACAUAGUUUUGUAAAGAACUAUACGUCUAUACGACUAUACCAGAUGUCCAAAUUGCCUUGUACUUAACUGCAAUUCGUCGCCCGCAAUUAAUAUCAAUUCAGAAGUAAACAAAUAGGUGGAUGAAAUCAUCCAAAAAUCUCAACAGCGAAAGGGAGCACAAACGGCAGCCUUCAAGUAUGGUGGAUACCGCAAAAAUGGCCCAUGUUCAAGUUCUUGCUGGUGCAACUUGUGACCAUGGCCUGGAGUUAAAAAAUGUAGAGUACCCAACUGGUCUUUCUUAUUUUUAACAUUUGUAAAAAAAAAAAAGGGCAAAAAAGAAAAAAGAAAAGAAAAGAAGCAGUUUU